rnacentral:misc_RNA from 1 species
AUUUCAGAUUUUGGACUUGCCAAGCAAUUUUCAAAUUCUGUUACCCAUAUGUCCACUGUGGUAAAGGGAACCUUUGGUUAUCUUUGCCCUGAAUAUUUCAGAACCCAACAGAUCAGUGAUAAGACUGAUGUAUAUUCCUUUGGUGUGGUGCUUUUAGAGUUAAUCACCGGUAAAAGGCCUAAUUCAAGGGAAGGCAAUUUUCCAGUCUUGACUUCUUGGGUACGUGCAUGUGUGUGUGUGCGUGUGAUUUUUUUUCUUCCAUAUUGUAUUACUCCAUAACAGUCAACACUGGAUUUUUUUUGUCUAAAUUUGAUCUAUCAUAAACCUAAAAUAUAAAAUGUAUGAUAGAAUUUACCUAUUAAAUACUUGAAUUUCAUAUAUUUACGUCUUGAGUCCAUUAUAAAUCGGAUCUAGAUAAAAAUUGUCUAUUCUUACAAAUCUAUGCAUCAUUAUAUCCUUCACUUAAUCAGGUUUCAUUUGGUUUAAACAUGCUUUGCUUUUUUAUUUUUAAUUUCUUUUAUUAAAGUAAUUUCCCUGCAAAUAAAUGCUUAUUAGAAAGUUACUUGUCAUGAACUUUGAUUUUUUAAUAUUUUAUUCACCUUUGUUUCUCAAAAAUUAUAUUAAUUUUUUAUCUAAUUUUAUCACUAACCUUUUGGGAGACACACGCAAAUAAUAUAUAUAUAUUUGGUAAAAAUAUUUUGAUAUUUAUAACGCAUAAAAAAAAUCACAUAUUAUAAAUUCAAGCGAUAAAAGCUAGUGUUACAAAUGCGGUAGCAUUAUAGAUCUUGAUAAUUUCUUUUUGAUUUACUUCUAUUAAGGAAGUCCAAUUUAAUUGCUAAUCCAUUCUCAACUUACUGACUUUUCUCAGUAAGUUACUUUGAUAAUUGAGAAAGUUAUAUAGUCGUAGAGAAAUUGAAUUUCCAUUUAUCUUGUCUUUAUGUUUCUUUACUAAAAGACAUAAUAAGUCAACAUCUUAAACUAAAAUAAAAAAAAAAUCAACUAUCAUCCAAUGAAUGGGAGAGUUAUGAUGAUAUUAUUGAUAAUAAAAUUGACUAAAACUUCCAUUUUUCAAAUUUCAGGUAGUACUUCAACUCAAAGUUCCACUGAAAGAAGCGUUGGACACAGACAAUUAUGAUAAUAUUGUUGAUGUUAAAUUGAAGAAUAAUUAUAGAAAAAUAGAAAUGGUUCGAAUGAUUCGUUGUGCUGCAGCUUGUGUGUAUAAACCUACAAAAUAUCGUCCAAAAAUGAGUCAGAUUGUUCUAGUCUUGCAAGGAAAAUUGGCAUCGGAAAGUAUAUGGCUAAACAGCGACAACAAUUUCCUUAAGGAUCCGCAUCAACAGGAUCAGUCAUGGGGAUCAUACACAAGGUCUGCGAAUGAUUAUGUGGCUUGAUUAUCGUUAUUGUCUGAUUUUCUGUUUCCAUGCGGCUUGGUUGUGGUUUCGCAUUGUUCGAUUGUAGCUUGAUUUUCUGGUCCAUGUGGCUUGGCACCAAAACCCAUCCAUUCUAUUUAUACUAACAAAUUAUAGAGAUGAAUGUUUUGACAGACAAAAUUGGCUCCCCUCAAAGCUUUUCUCUUCUCCUCUCUACAGCAGUUUUAAAUAUAAUUAGUUUCUAAUUCAAAUAAGAAAAACAAAUAAGAGGUAAAGGUGAGAGAAUUGUGAUGAUUCAUUAACAUUAUUUUGCU